rnacentral:rRNA from 1 species
UGAGGAAUAUUGGGCAAUGCCCGCAAGGGUGACCCAGCAACGCCGCGUGGAGGAUGAAUGUCGUAAGAUUGUAAACUCCUGUUAGAGGGGAAGAAUAGUACCGGUUGGACCGGUAUAUGACUGUACCCUCAGAGAAAGCCCCGGCUAACUACGUGCCCGCAGCCGCGGUAAUACGUAGGGGGCAAGCGUUGUCCGGAUUUACUGGGUGUAAAGGGCGCGCAGGCGGGAUAAAAAGUCAGUGGUGAAAUCCUACAGCUUAACUGUAGAACUGCCUUUGAUACUUUUAUUCUUGAGUUCGGGAGAGAGAGACGGAAUUCCAGGUGUAGUGGUGAAAUACGUAGAUAUCUGGAAGAACACCAGUUGCGAAGGCGGUCUCUUGGUCCGACACUGACGCUGAGGCGCGAAAGCGUGGGGAGCAAACA